GAUCUAUAACUGGUGUGAGAGGAUCUCACUCACUCUGGAUCUGAGACGCGGUCCAGUCUCUAGGGGAGGCAGCAGUGGGGAAUAUUGCACAAUGGGAGAAAGCCUGAUACAGCCAUCCCGUGAGUGAGAAGAAGGUUUUCGGAUUGUAAAUCACUUUUAGGUGGGAGGAAGGUCACUAAGUUAAUGCCCUGUUCUUUUGAGGUUCCUGACAGAAUAAGCACCGGUUAAUUCUGUGCCACCAGCCGCGGUAAUCCAGAGGGUCCAAGCGUUUAUCGGAAUUAUUGGGGGUAAAGCGUGCCUAGGGGGUUCGUUAAUUUGGAUGUGAAAUCCCCGGGCUCAACGUGGGGGGUGCAUCCAAAACUGGCAAGCUAGAGUCCGGUAGAGGGUGGUGGAAUUUCCGGUGUAGCGGUGAAAUGGGUAGAAAUAGGAAGGACCACCGGUGGGGAAGGCGCCCUCCUGGACGGAUACUGACGUUGAGGUGGGAAAGCUUGGGGAGCAACCAGGAUUAGAUACCCGGGUAGUCCACGCCGUAAACGAUGUCAACUAGCCGAGGGAAUCCUCGAGAUUUUAGUGGCGCAGCUAACGCAUUAAG
rnacentral:rRNA from 1 species